rnacentral:sRNA from 1 species
CUUCAUCGAUCUGCUGCGGGCAGAUGUAGUGGAUAUGAGCAUCGAUCGAACCUGCGGUGAGUAUCUUGCCCUCCCCGGCGAUCGCUUCCGUGCCGGGACCGACGAUGAUGUCGACACCGUUCUGGACAUCCGGGUUGCCGGCCUUGCCGAUGCCGACGAUCCGGCCGUCCUUCAGCCCGACAUCGGCCUUGACGAUGCCCCAGUGGUCGAUGAUCAGCACAUUGGUGAUGACCGUGUCGACGGCGCCGGCGGAACGGGGUGCCUGGGACUGGCCCAUGCCGUCACG